AACCCCAACCCGGGAUUUUGACCCGCGGGCGCACUGGGAGCGCCAGCACCAACUUCCUCCUGGAGCUCCGGGCAGAAGGAGCAGCCCGCCCGCCCCGCCGCCUCUGCGCACCCGGCUUCCCGCGGGCCGGGCCGCCCCGCCCGCAGCAGGCAAUUAGAAGAAAGAAAACCAUCAGUGACAAAAAACGCCUUUCCAAGUCAGGAACCUUUGGUCAACACUGAUGCAAUAAUCUGCAAGGGCAGGUGCAAUCCUGAACUGAACCAUGAAAAUUGCUUUGAAAUCACAGAAGACAAAGAGGAAACUUUUGGACAUCAUUUACUUUGGGACGUUCCAAACCAAAGCUAUCUUCCAACCCAGAAAAGAAGUCCAGCUCUGCCAAGUGCUUAAUCAUGGAAAUGAAGAAAGAGACCACAAAACUGAAUAAAAAGAUGAUUGAAACAACGUUCCUACUCUGAAAAUGCCUUUUUGGAGGUACUAUCAGAAGAAAAGGAGAGAACAAAGAACCUUAAUACAUCACUGAUGUAUCUAACUGGAGCUGAUCCUGCCUUUCAGCCUACCCUCAGCCAACACUGUGGCACUGCACAGGAGAGGAAGGACGUGGAUGGAAGAAAAGACAUUGAUAUGGCAAGAGCAGAUACAGGAAAGAGAAAAAGUGAAUUAUUGAAUUCUGCUGCCCUAAGAAUGAGAGGUUUAAGCAGGACUAAGUUGUUUCUGCAACAGUGAGAGAGGGAUCGAGAGAAAGCACAAAAUGGAGAUGGAAGACCUCUGCACCCUGUUCCUUAUUAGCAGGAUGAUUUUAUUCACGAUUAAUUUAUCACAUUUAUCAUUUUUUCUUAAACAGUCUUUAAAUUCUUUCUUUUGUAUCUUGAAGCUUGUCCUCACUGUCACAUGCACUGUAUUAAAGUCCGCAUAGUACUA